rnacentral:rRNA from 1 species
UGGGGAAUAUUGCACAAUGGGGGAAACCCUGAUGCAGCGACGCCGCGUGAGUGAAGAAGGCUUUCGAGUCGUAAAGCUCUGUCCUAUGAGAAGAUAAUGACGGUAUCAUAGGAGGAAGCCCUGGCUAAAUACGUGCCAGCAGCCGCGGUAAUACGUAUGGGGCGAGCGUUGUCCGGAAUUAUUGGGCGUAAAGGGUACGUAGGUGGUUUUUUAAGUCAGGUGUCAAAGCGUGGAGCUUAACUCCAUUAAGCACUUGAAACUGAAAGACUUGAGUGAAGGAGAGGAAAGUGGAAUUCCUAGUGUAGCGGUGAAAUGCGUAGAUAUUAGGAGGAAUACCGGUGGCGAAGGCGACUUUCUGGACUUUUACUGACGCUCAGGUACGAAAGCGUGGGGAGCAAACAGG